rnacentral:rRNA from 1 species
GACGAACGCUGGCGGCGGGCUUAACACAUGCAAGUCGAACGGAAAGGCCCUGCUUUUGUGGGGUGCUCGAGUGGCGAACGGGUGAGUAACACGGGAGUAACCUGCCCUUGACUGUGGGAUAACUUCAGGAAACUGGGGCUAAUACCGGAUAGGAGCUCCUGCUGCAUGGUGGGGGUUGGAAAGUUUCGGCGGUUGGGGAUGGACGCGCGGCUUAUCAGCUUGUUGGUGGGGUAGUGGCUUACCAAGGCUUUGACGGGUAGCCGGCCUGAGAGGGUGACCGGCCACAUUGGGACUGAGAUACGGCCCAGACUCCUACGGGAGGCAGCAGUGGGGAAUAUUGCACAAUGGGCGGAAGCCUGAUGAAGCAACGCCGCGUGCGGGAUGACGGCCUUCGGGUUGUAAACCGCUUUCGCCUGUGACGAAGCGUGAGUGACGGUAAUGGGUAAAGAAGCACCGGCUAACUACGUG